CACGAAGGGGAGCAGGUCGAGCAGGAGCGGCAGCAGUGGAAGGAGCAUUGCGGGGUUCCACGGCGAGCCCGCAGCUCGGCUGGGCCCGGCAGCAUCGCAUUGCCCCGCAUCCCGCAGCAAGCAAGCAAGCAGCGCUGGGUGGCCGGGGAGUCGCUGCUCCACUCAUGGCACACACCACUUACGAGUUUGGACUUCUUGGCCACACUGCCGGACCCCAACACCCUGGUCCUGAUGCAGAAUGAACUCCAGCCUCUGGCUGCAUCCAGCCAGACUUCAUCCUGUGUGGCCAGCUCAGCCCCACCAACUGCCCUGGCAACACCCUCUUCCAGGAGAUCCAGAGCUGGCCCAGCUUCUAGGGGACACUGGUGUCCACAGGGCUUGGGGUGGGUGUCCCAUUGGGGUUGGUGGGAGGAGGUUUGGGGUGAUG